AGGUUGGUAUUCCAGCAUGUCGGGCUUGCCAAGGAAUAAGGACAUUGAUGGCGUUUUCUCUUCUAGAGGACUACAAAGCCCCUUCCAGCAUGAUGAAAGCUUCUUGUAUCAGGUAUAUGUGUGCCUGGUGCCUACAGAGUCCAGAAGAGGACUGGAAUUGGAGUUGAAAAUGGACUUAUUAAUGAAGGGAUGUUGAAGUUUAUCAAAUACCCUUUUCUGUAUCUUUCAAGAUGAUGAUGAUGAAUCAAACUCAUGUUUUGAGGCUUGCAACCUUAACUGUUUCUUUUGAAAUCAACUAAUAAAGAAAGGAUUAAAUAAAUCACCAAGCAUCCAUGCCAUGAAAAACUGGAUUUUUGAAAGAAUGAAGCAACUCCAUGUGUGCUGACUUGGAAUGUCCACUAACCUGCAGCUGGAAACAGCAGCAGUCAUCCAGACUGUGAAGCACGGGGUAGUACCAUCGUCUACAGAAGGUUGGGAAGAGUAGGGCGAUAUAUCUGAAUCCUGUCCACCUACAGUUUAUUUGUGUGUGAGAUGUAAUAGAUUGUCGCUGGGGCUGCUGAAGUACUCAGAAAGUACUACAGACUAGGUGAUUUACUGACAGAAGUAGUUCUCAUCCAAGAUCAUGGUGUCCCAAGGGACUUUUUUUUUUCUUCUGAAUUCUUUCUCCUUUUGGUUUAUAGAUGGUUGUCUUCCCCAGUGUCUUCAUGAGGUCUUCCAUUCGUGUCCUAAUUGCAAAAGGAUAACGCAUGGCUGAGGGCCUGUCUCAGUGAUGGCUCUUCACCAAAUCUCUUCCUUAAAGAAAUUAUUUUCAGAUGUAUGGUAUUCCCAUUCUGAAGUGUAGCUUUCAGUGAAUGAGUUUGAACUUGUUAGUUCAAAACAAGAAAGGAUUCCUCUCUGUGCCUCAGAGAGGUUGAAUAACCAACUAUGACCAUGAUGUACCUGGGGGAGGGGAGCUGCUGAGUCAGCAAACAGGAGGAAAGAAACCAUGUCUACCUUUCCAAAGUUUAUAACCUAUAUAUGUGACACAGAUUUUUGAAACUUAGUCAGUGUAACAGGCCCCAGACCUUAGUAGCCACCUUAGUUAUACUAAAGUAUACUUAGUACCUUAGUAUAACUUAGCACACUGUCCCCAUGAUGAAGUACCAUUUAGGCCAUAAAAUUAAACACAUAGACAGCACCACCAGCCAAAAUGAAACCAAAGACCUAACCCAUCAAAGUCUGUAGUUCUGGGAAAAUCUCUAAAAGUACUAAUUUUGCUUUUUGACUUCUGUAAUUCCUUAUCUGGGUAACUGAAGUAUGUCAAUGAGAAACGGUUUGGUUGUGUGUGUGUGUGUGUGUGUGUGUGUGUGUGUGUAUAAACCCCCCAGUAGCAACCAGCUGAGACUUGUCUCUGACAAAAUCACACAAUCCAUCCUGAAAUGGAUUCCUCUACUUCAGUUGUGUGAAACAGUGCUGGCUGGCAUUUUUUUUUCUGAGAGAUGUUCCAUCAAUGCUCAAGGUGACUGGUCUGUGCUCUUGGGUUCUUGGUUCACUCAACUAAUUUCUCUGCUUUCCUAAGGGUGGGGUGCUGGAGAGAGUACAUAGGAAAACCUGAGAGUCAUUUUCAUGUUGGGCUUCCCUUCCAAGGUGUCUAGGGCCCUCGUUCUCUACAGUACUUGGCUCUCUCUUACUUCUUCUAGAAUAGAUACCCACCUUAGUCACUGCAUUGAGGUUGGCAAUCUGUGGGCAGCUCUUCAAUCAUUCUCUCCAUCUGGAUCCCUUUCAGUGCUUCCCUGACUUACCCUCUCUAGCACUUCACACCUUUGAACACAUGAUAAUUUUUCUCGCCCAGUCCCAAGAAUUGUUGCCUACGUUGUCCACAGAUGAAUCCCAAGCAACUGGGGUCAUGCCUACCCCAUAGUAGACACUUGAUGAUUAUCAGUUGAUUGGCAGAUAGAGCACACGACCAUCUGCUGGGCACGAUGCCCUUUUCCUUUCUGGCCCUUGGUUGUGUUUCCUCUCUCACACUCUCUCCUCUCUACAUGCUAGUCUCCACUUCUCCCAGGUAAGGACAGCUAAGGCAGCUGGCCUGAUGUGUCUGUCAGCCUCACGAGAUCCUGUGAUUAAGGCCGCAAGAAUGUACUUAUUUUAGAAAUGAAGGCUCACAAAUGGCAAGUAACUUGGUUAGCAUUCUCCCAGGAAUUGUGCUCUCCAGGCUCGGCCUCCAUCUACGUUUUAUGUAAUCUGUGACUUUGAGAACUUGCCCUUCUGGAAGUGCCUCUGUGUCUGCCUCAGUCUCUCAGACGCUGCGUGUCAUGUCUACCUUCCUAGAUUUGUAAACCGAAUUUUUUCAUUUUUAGAGAAACUUUGUGAGGGAGGCUGGGCGGUUGCCCGUGCAGGCUCAUGCUGGCUAGUUUUACGUCAAUGUGACACAAGCUAGAGUCAUUUGGGAAGAGGAACUUUCAGUUAAGAAAAUGACUCCAUAAAAUCGGGCAAUUUUUUUUUUUUUUUUUGUAAUUUAGUGAUAGAUGAAGGAAGACUGAGCCCAUUGUGUGUGGUGCCAUCUUUGGGGAGAUGGUCCUUGUAUAAGAAAGCAGGCUGGGCAAACGAUGGGCAAAGAGCCAAUAAUUAGCACCCAUCCCUGUCCUCUCGCUCAGAAUCUGAAUCCAAGCUCCCAUUCUGUUUGAAUUGGGGCCCUGGUUUCCUGCUGUGGUGGACCUUUUCCUGGAAGUGUAAGAUGAACUCAACCCUCCCCUUCCCUUCCCAGGUUGCUUUUGAUGGAGAUGCUUUGGCGCAGCAGUAGAAACCCCAACUAAGAUCGUGCUUAUGUCAGAUUGGUUUCGUGAUAGAAUCGGAUCUGGACAGCAGUUUCCUUCAAUAAACGUCAGUGGAGCACCUUCUGGGUCCCUGGCAUGGAUGGACAGCAUCCCAAGAGGACUUUAGGUUGCCAUAUGAUUUGUUUCUCAACCAGCAUAUGAACUUUCCCAAGAUGAGGCAGGCCUUUUCAGUGUUACGCCCAAAUCCCAAAUCUAGGUGCAGAGUGCACAGCCAAAUCUCACCAAGCCUUCGUCUUCCUGAUAGAACAUGCUCGAUUUUAGCUGACUUCAUUCAGAAGUAGGAAUCAGAUACUAGUUGGCACAGCAGAAAAAAAAAAAAAAAAAAAAAAACCCAAAUCACCCUCUGGCAAGGAAGGCGUUAUGCAACUGCCUUAGAAGUAAAUUUACCUUCUUAAUUAUGGAUGCCUGUGGCUAUAAUUACAGAUAAGUAGCAUUUCCCACGUCUAAUCUUCUUCCUGCUUCCUUCUCUGAGCCCAUCGGGGUAACUCUCCUGGGCCUUCUAUUUAAUUCUCAGAGGUAGUGAGACAGAUUGAACGAACUUGCCUGACCGGAAGCUCAAAGGCAUCAGAGGUGGGGAGGGACAACACCGCUGAAGAAUCACCAUGUGGAACAGGGAAGCUUUGCUGACCUGCAGCGUCAGACUUCCAGACUGUCUCAACGUAGAGUGGCUUCCUGAGUCCUCCCGCCCUUCCUGGGGUUGUUCUGCAUUCAAUGGGUCAUGAGGCAGGCAUGCAAAACUUAUAUGAGCCGUGCCAGGCAGGUAUCACCCUGGAGUUCCAGAACAGGUGAAUAAACUUUCUCAGGCCUAAAUUAUAAACCAUUGUGUCCGGGGGCCGGAUUCCUGCAAAUACCCUAUUGGCUUCAGAAGUGUUGGUUCCUAUUAGACACAGAACAUUCUUGUCUUCUAAAAACAAACAAACAAACAAACAAACAAACCCCAAGCCUGUGGACAGAGGUUGGGAAGGUGAAGAGUAGGCCCUCUGUAGAUCCUGACAGCUUGGAAACUGAUCAUUUUCCAUGCCACGACUCUGAGCCCUUGUUCCAGUGGUUGACUAAGCAUGGCAGCGGUACACAGAGGUGCCGGCUCCAACCUCCAAAAGGCCUGACAGAAGCAACCCCACAUCUUUGUUCAGGGAAAAGACUUUACUUUCUAUCACACCCGACAGAGGAUCUUACUGUUUCUCUCCUCAGGCAUUUUCUGUUCUUUUGAUACCUUUUGCCUCCUGCCUGAACCCUGGAUGUAAUUCCCUUGCACAAAGCCCUCUGAAGAUGCUUAUAAAACUUGGAGCCAAGUCAAUCUACUUAAGCUCUACCUUUGCUUGGUCUCUUUAAGUUUAUCUCUCACAGCCCAGGUAGCUCAGCACUUCUCCUGCUCCUCACUUCGGCUCCUAAGAGGCCGAGAGGGCUUUCCCUGUUGCCUUGGCCCUCAGGGUUGGCAAAUGAAACAGUACCUACCAGCUCUGCGCUUUCUAAAGAGAGCCACCAGCUUUCUGGGGCCAAUUGAGAUGUGGCUAAGCAUACUCUGCUGUUUCCAGCAACCACCUCACCCUGCUCUCCCUGCUCCAGCCCACCCAGUCUCAGGAGAAGCAAGAAGAGAAGCAAAGAGAUGCUGAGGGAUUGUGAGGGCCAGCAGUAGGGUGUUCUGUCUUUGAGGGGGCAGUGAUACUUGCUUCACCGCACACUGCUGUGCUCUGAGAACCACAUCUCACCAUUCUAAAAAGAGAGGAUUUUGUGUGUGUGUGUGUGUGUGUGAACAUGGCUAUAGGUGUUUUAAAAUGAAUUUGCAUGUUAGAACAAUAUAUUGAUAAAAACAGAUUUAAAUUAAAUUUUAGAACUUAAGCUGGGUGGUGCUGGUGGCAGCCUUUAAUCUCAGCCCCUAGGAGACAGAGACGGAUGGAUCUCUUCAAGUUCAAGGGCAGCCUGGUGUACAAAGUGAGUUCUAGGACAAUGAGGUGCUAUAUAGAAAAACCAUGCCUAGAAACAAACAAACAAACAAACAAACAAAAUUUAAAACUUAAAAUGGUUCUUGGAUUCUGUUGUCUAAACGUAAAUGAUAACCAAAAACUUGAAAUUCAAGGGAUUGCUGAACUUAAAAAUGAGUAUUUCCUCACCCUGGGAGGGGAGGGGCAUGGGACACAGACUUUAACUCUUUUAUGGCCUGGGCCAAGUUGGAAUGUUGACACUUGGUUUGGCUGCACACAGUUUAUUGGAAGAAAUAGUAAGCCAAGUGCCUUGGAAAUGAUCAAGGGCAUACAUCCACCCAUCAUAUGCGUCAUAUCACCCUGGUUCCUUCACAUGCUCAAUGAAGAUAGGGAAGAUGGGAAGAAGGUCAUGGGGAUGUGGAUAUACGCUGUCUGGGUUUGAGGUCAGAUCCAUAGCAUGCUAGAUUAGGGACUUUGGGUGAGUCACUUAAUGGUUUUACAAUUCAUGUCCCUUAUUGUAAGAUGAGCCUAGUAACACACCGCUUUUGGUGUAACUGACGGGACUGGAUAAGUUAACACGUGUAAGAUACUUGGAAUGGUAGUGCAUGGUGCCAUGCCUCUGAUUAUUGCUUGCUGUCUGUGCUAAAGUUAAUGGAAGAAAAAGAUAUAUUCAUAAAGCCUUAGUACUGGGACUGGAGAGAUGGAUCAGUGGCUAAGAUUACUUCAUCCUCUUGCAGAGGACAGUGUGGUGCCCGGGACUCACAUUGCACUGUUCAUACUUGCCUGAAAUUCCAGUUUUCAAUUCCUCUUUCUGAAUCCACACACUUAUGAUACACAUACAAUUAAGCAGGCACACAUAAAUAAAUGAAAUUAUUUAUUUUUAUAAAACACAUUUAUUUAUAUAACACAUAAAUAAAAUAAAGGUUUUUUUUUUUAAACCAUUAAGGUUGGUGGACAUGGUGGCGCACACUUGUAAUCCUAGCAAUUGGAGUUGCUGAAAUAGGGAAAGUGUAGACAAAGUUCGAGGCCAGCAUGGGCUACAAAGUGAGAGUCUGUCUCAAAACAAAUCAACUCUUUGACUUCAAAUAAAGCAUACAUCUC
rnacentral:lncRNA from 1 species